rnacentral:rRNA from 1 species
AUUGAACGCUGGCGGCAGGCCUAACACAUGCAAGUCGAGCGGAUGAAGGGAGCUUGUUCCUGGCUUCAGCGGCGGACGGGUGAGUAAUGCCUAGGAAUAUGCCUGGUAGUGGGGGAUAACGUAAGGAAACGGGCGCUAAUACCGCAUACGUCAUGAGGGAGAAAGUGGGGGAUCUUCGGACCUAACGGUAUUUGAUGAGCCUAGGCCGGAUUAGCUAGUUGGUGGGGUAAAGGCUUACCAAGGCGACGAUCCGUAACUGGUCUGAGAGGAUGAUCGGCCACACUGGAACUGAGACACGGUCCAGACUCCUACGGGAGGCAGCAGUGGGGAAUAUUGCACAAUGGGCGAAAGCCUGACCGAGCCAUGCCGCGUGAGUGAAGAAGGUCUUCGGAUCGUAAAACACUGUUAUUUGGGAAGAAGAAAUGUGUGAGUAACUCUGCACGUUUUGACGUUACCAACACAGAAAGCCCCGGCUAACUACGUG